CUUUUAAAAAAAUAAUUAAAAGUAGUCCCUGCCCAAUGAAUUUUAAUGGCCGCGGUACCCUAACCGUGCAAAGGUAGCAUAAUAAAUUGCCUAUUAAUUGUAGGCUAGAAUGAAUGGGUUAACGAAAUAAAAUCUGUCUCCAUAAAUAAAAUAAAAAUUAUCCUUUAAGUGAAGAGACUUAAAUAAUAUAGUGGGACAAGAAGACCCUACAGAGCUUUAUUAUAAAAUUAAAUAAAUUAUUUUUAUAAUUUGGUUGGGGCGACCAAGGAUCCAUAAAACAUCCUUUAUUAAUAAGAAUAAAACUUCAAAAUAAGAUCCUAAUAAGAUAAAAUGUAUAGUUACCUUAGGGAUAACAGGCUAAUUUAUUUAAAGAGCCCUUAUCUACAAAUAAGUUUGGCACCUCGAUGUUGGCUUAGGAAAACAUUUUAACGCAAAAGUUAAAUAUGU
rnacentral:rRNA from 1 species